rnacentral:rRNA from 1 species
AGAGUUUGUUCCUGGCUCAGGAUGAACGCUGGCGGCGUGCUUAACACAUGCAAGUCGAACGAAGCACUUUAUUUGAUUUCCUUCGGGACUGAUUAUUUUGUGACUGAGUGGCGGACGGGUGAGUAACGCGUGGGUAACCUGCCUUGUACAGGGGGAUAACAGUUGGAAACGGCUGCUAAUACCGCAUAAGCGCACAGCAUCGCAUGAUGCAGUGUGAAAAACUCCGGUGGUAUAAGAUGGACCCGCGUUGGAUUAGCUAGUUGGUGAGGUAACGGCCCACCAAGGCGACGAUCCAUAGCCGACCUGAGAGGGUGACCGGCCACAUUGGGACUGAGACACGGCCCAAACUCCUACGGGAGGCAGCAGUGGGGAAUAUUGCACAAUGGGCGAAAGCCUGAUGCAGCGACGCCGCGUGAGCGAAGAAGUAUUUCGGUAUGUAAAGCUCUAUCAGCAGGGAAGAUAAUGACGGUACCUGACUAAGAAGCACCGGCUAAAUACGUGCCAGCAGCCGCGGUAAUACGUAUGGUGCAAGCGUUAUCCGGAUUUACUGGGUGUAAAGGGAGCGCAGGCGGUGCGGCAAGUCUGAUGUGAAAGCCCGGGGCUCAACCCCGGUACUGCAUUGGAAACUGUCGUACUAGAGUGUCGGAGGGGUAAGCGGAAUUCCUAGUGUAGCGGUGAAAUGCGUAGAUAUUAGGAGGAACACCAGUGGCGAAGGCGGCUUACUGGACGAUAACUGACGCUGAGGCUCGAAAGCGUGGGGAGCAAACAGGAUUAGAUACCCUGGUAGUCCACGCCGUAAACGAGAAUUUUUGGGGGUGGGGAAGCAUUGCUUCUCGGUGCCGUCGCAAACGCAGUAAGUUAUUCCCCCUGGGGGAGUCGGUUCGCAAGAAAUGAACCUCAAAGGGAAUUGAGCGGGGACCGCACCAAGCGGGGGAGCAUGUGGUUUAAUUCGAAGCAACGGGAAGAACCUUACCAAAGUCUUGACAUCCUUCUGACCGGUACUUAAUCGUACCUUCUCUUCGGAGCAGGAGUGACAGGUGGUGCAUGGUUGUCGUCAGCUCGUGUCGUGAGAUGUUGGGUUAAGUCCCGCAACGAGCGCAACCCUUAUCUUUAGUAGCCAGCGGUCCGGCCGGGCACUCUAGAGAGACUGCCAGGGAUAACCUGGAGGAAGGCGGGGAUGACGUCAAAUCAUCAUGCCCCUUAUGACUUGGGCUACACACGUGCUACAAUGGCGUAAACAAAGGGAAGCAAAGCUGUGAAGCCGAGCAAAUCUCAAAAAUAACGUCUCAGUUCGGACUGUAGUCUGCAACCCGACUACACGAAGCUGGAAUCGCUAGUAAUCGCAGAUCAGAAUGCUGCGGUGAAUACGUUCCCGGGUCUUGUACACACCGCCCGUCA